rnacentral:lncRNA from 1 species
UGCCCAUCUCGGGGUUUGCCAGGAGAAGUCUGCUGGUCCAGGGACCACCGACCUGCGUUCCCAUCGCUCAUCGAACCCGAUGAACUUUCCCAGUCUCAAGGAAUUCUGACAAAGACUUUUUCUCCAAGACUCCAAACUUCCAAGUCCUAUUUUGAAUCUCCAAGCCUACUUGCCCAGAACAGAAGACCCUGGAUCUGACACUACUUCAGUACUGAUGGCUCCUGCUCCACUCCCUGGCAGCAGCAGAGUAAUGUCAGAUCUGCUCUGCACAACUAAGACUCCAACAUGGGUGACAGCUGGGAUCUAGACACAGGGAUGCUGCCACAGCAUGACUUGAGCUGUGUCAAUCUGUGUCCGGGAUGUGAACUGGUGAACCCCAGGACGCCAAAGCAGAGUACAUGAACUUA